AGGUGGGAGGAUCGCUUGAACCUGGGAGAUGGAGGCUGCAGUGAGCUGAGAUCCUGCUACUGCACUCCAGCCUGGGCAACAGAGUGAGACUCUGUCUC
rnacentral:miRNA from 1 species